UACGAAGGGUGCAAACGUUGCUCGGAAUUAUUGGGCGUAAAGCGCACGUAGGCGGCUUGGCAAGUCGGAUGUGAAAUCCCUCGGCUCAACCAAGGAAGUGCAUCCGAAACUGCUGAGCUUGAGUACUUAAGAGGAUCGCGGAAUUCCCGGUGUAGAGGUGAAAUUCGUAGAUAUUCGGAAGAACACCAGUGGCGAAGGCGGCUCACUGGCCCGGUACUGACGCUGAGGUGCGAAAGCGUGGGGAGCAAACAGG
rnacentral:rRNA from 1 species